rnacentral:rRNA from 1 species
UACAGAGGGUGCAAGCGUUAAUCGGAAUUACUGGGCGUAAAGGGUGCGUAGGUGGUUAUACGCUGUCGUUGGUGAAAUUUCUGGGCUUAACCUAGAAGCUGCUAACGAAACUGUAUGACUUGAGUAGAACAGAGGGAAGUGGAAUUUCCGGUGUAGCGGUGAAAUGCGUAGAUAUCGGAAGGAACACCAGUGGCGAAGGCGGCUUCCUGGGUUCAUACUGACACUGAUGCACGAAAGCGUGGGGAUCAAACAGG